rnacentral:rRNA from 1 species
GAUGAACGCUGGCGGCGUGCUUAACACAUGCAAGUCGAGCGAAGCACUUAGGAAAGAUUCUUCGGAUGAUUUCCUAUUUGACUGAGCGGCGGACGGGUGAGUAACGCGUGGGUAACCUGCCUCAUACAGGGGGAUAACAGUUAGAAAUGACUGCUAAUACCGCAUAAGACCACAGCACCGCAUGGUGCAGGGGUAAAAACUCCGGUGGUAUGAGAUGGACCCGCGUCUGAUUAGGUAGUUGGUGGGGUAACGGCCUACCAAGGCGACGAUCAGUAGCCGACCUGAGAGGGUGACCGGCCACAUUGGGACUGAGACACGGCCCAAACUCCUACGGGAGGCAGCAGUGGGGAAUAUUGCACAAUGGGGGAAACCCUGAUGCAGCGACGCCGCGUGAGCGAAGAAGUAUUUCGGUAUGUAAAGCUCUAUCAGCAGGGAAGAAAUUGACGGUACCUGACUAAGAAGCCCCGGCUAACUACGUGCCAGCAGCCGCAGUAA